rnacentral:tRNA from 1 species
GCCUGGGUGGCUCAGUCGGUUGAGCGUCCGACUUUGGCUCAGGUCAUGAUCUCAUGGUCUGUGGGUUUGAGCCCCAUGUCGGGCU